AUUGAACGCUGGCGGAAUGCUUUACACAUGCAAGUCGAACGGCAGCACGGACUUCGGUCUGGUGGCGAGUGGCGAACGGGUGAGUAAUGUAUCGGAAAGUGCCCAGUCGUGGGGGAUAACGUAGUGAAAAUUACGCUAAUACCGCAUACGAUCUAUGGAUGAAAGCGGGGGAUCGCAAGACCUCGCGCGAUUGGAGCGGCCGAUAUCAGAUUAGGUAGUUGGUGGGGUAAAGGCCCACCAAGCCAACAAUCGGUAGCUGGUCUGAAAGGACGACCAGCCACACUGGAACUUAGACUCGGUCCAGACUCCUAGGGGAGGCAGCAUUGGUGAAUUUUUGACAAUGGCGAAAGCCUGAUCCAGCCAUUCCGCGUGCAGGAUGAAGGCCCUCGGGUUGUAAACUGCUUUUGUACAGAACGAAAAGGUUUCUACUAAUACUAGGAGCUCAUGACGGUACUGUAAGAAUAAGCACCGGCUAACUACGUGCCAGCCGCCGCCGUAA
rnacentral:rRNA from 1 species